rnacentral:SRP_RNA from 1 species
GCCAGAGGGGAUGGUGUAUGUCUUUAAUCUUUGCUUCAAGGAGAGGCUGAGGUUGGUGGAUCUUUGGGCUACAGUGAGGCUAAAGCUGCUCAGUUACCCACGUUAUUUAACACAAAUAUGGUGAACUACUGGGAGCAGGGGCCCACCAGGCUUCCUGAGAAGGUGAACUUGUCUGGGUCAGAAAUGGAUCAGGUCAAAGCUUCUGUGUAGAUCAGUAAUGAGGUCAAGCCUGUGAGUGGAUCCUAUACUUACAGCCUGGAUAAUAUAGGGAGACUAUGUCUCA